GCCUGGGUGGCUCAGUCGGUUAAGCGUCCGACUUCAGCUCAGGUCAUGAUCUCACGGUUUGUGGGUUCGAGCCCCACCUCGGGCU
rnacentral:tRNA from 1 species